rnacentral:rRNA from 1 species
CGAACGCUGGCGGCGUGCUUAACACAUGCAAGUCGAACGGAAAGGCCCCCACCUUGGUGGGGGUGCUCGAGUGGCGAACGGGUGAGUAACACGUGGGUGAUCUGCCCUGUACUUCGGGAUAAGCUUGGGAAACUGGGUCUAAUACCGGAUAGGACCAUGGUUUAGUGUCUCAUGGUGGAAAAAUUAUUGUUUUGGUGCAGGAUGAGCUCGCGGCCUAUCAGCUUGUUGGUGGGGUAAUGGCCUACCAAGGCGUCGACGGGUAGCCGGCCUGAGAGGGUGGACGGCCACAUUGGGACUGAGAUACGGCCCAGACUCCUACGGGAGGCAGCAGUGGGGAAUAUUGCACAAUGGGCGCAAGCCUGAUGCAGCGACGCCGCGUGGGGGAUGACGGCCUUCGGGUUGUAAACUCCUUUCGUUAGGGACGAAGCCACACCUUUUUUGGGUGUGGUGACGGUACCUUUGUUAAGAAGCACCGGCUAACUACGUG